rnacentral:rRNA from 1 species
AUUGAACGCUGGCGGCAGGCUUAACACAUGCAAGUCGAGCGGGGUGAUGGUGCUUGCACUAUCACCUAGCGGCGGACGGGUGAGUAAUGCUUAGGAAUCUGCCUAUUAGUGGGGGACAACAUCUCGAAAGGGAUGCUAAUACCGCAUACGUCCUACGGGAGAAAGCAGGGGAUCACUCGUGACCUUGUGCUAAUAGAUGAGCCUAAGUCGGAUUAGCUAGUUGGUGGGGUAAAGGCCUACCAAGGCGACGAUCUGUAGCGGGUCUGAGAGGAUGAUCCGCCACAAUGGGACUGAGACACGGCCCAGACUCCUACGGGAGGCAGCAGUGGGGAAGAUUGGACAAUGGGGGGAACCCUGAUCCAGCCAUGCCGCGUGUGUGAAGAAGGCCUUAUGGUUGUAAAGCACUUUAAGCGAGGAGGAGGCUCUUUUGGUUAAUACCCAAGAUGAGUGGACGUUACUCGCAGAAUAAGCACCGGCCAACUCUGUGCCAGCCGCCGCCGUAA